CGAACAGAGAGUUCGAUUAUGGCUCAGAUUGAACAUGGCGGGAUGCUUUACACAUGCAAGUCGAACGGCAGCCUGGACUUCGGUCUGGUGGCGAGUGGCGAACGGGUGAGUAAUGUAUCGGAACGUGCCUAGUAGCGGGGGAUAACUACGCGAAAGCGUAGCUAAUACCACGCAUACGCCCUUCGGGGAAAGCGGGGGACCUUCGGGCCUCGCACUAUUAGAGCGACCGAUAUCGGAUUAGCUAGUUGGUGGGGUAACGGCUCACCAAGGCGACGUCCGUAGCUGGUUUGAGAGGACGACCAGCCACACUGGGACUGAGACACGGCCCAGACUCCUACGAAGGAGGCAGCUUGAUGGGAAUUUUGGACAAUGGAAACCCUGAUCCAGCCAUCCCGCGUGUGCGAUGAAGGCCUUCGGGUUGUAAAGCACUUUUGGCAGGAAAGAAACGGCACGGGAUAAUACCCCGUGCAACUGACGUACCUGCAGAAUAAGCACCGGUAACUACGUGCCAGCAGCCGCGGUAAUACGUAGGGUGCAAGCGUUAAUCGGAAUUACUGGAAGCAGUAAAGCGUGCGCAGGCGGUUCGGAAAGAAGAUGUGAAAUCCCAGAGCUUAACUUUGGAACUGCAUUUUUAACUACCGAGCUAGAGUGUGUCAGAGGGAGGUGGAAUUCCGCGUGUAGCAGUGAAAUGCGUAGAUAUGCGGAGGAACACCGAUGGCGAAAGCCUCCUGGGAUAACACUGACGCUCAUGCGAAAGCGUGGGGAGCAAACAGGAUUAGAUACCCUUGUAGU
rnacentral:misc_RNA from 1 species